AUACUUACCUAGUCUAGAGCCCUCCAGAUCAAGAGUUGGGGGGCUCGCCUCGGCCUGCCUGCAUUGCACUCCCGUGGCGCAGGCCGGGGUUCAUUACCCUUCGGGGUCGUGUAUGGCAUAAUUUUUGAUUCUUCAU
rnacentral:snRNA from 17 species